CUCGAAAGCCUGUCCCAGUUCGGACUGAGUCUGCCACCCGACUCCACGAAGUUGGAUUCGCUAGUAAUCGCGCAUCAGCCAUGGCGCGGUGAAUACGUUCCCGGGCCUUGUACACACCGCCCGUCAAGCCAUGGGAGCCGGGGGCGCCUGAAGUCCGGGACCGCGAGGACCGGCCUAGGGCGAAACUGGUAACUGGGGCUAAGUCGUAACAAGGUAGC
rnacentral:rRNA from 1 species